rnacentral:rRNA from 1 species
ACGGAAUAGAUACCCGGGUAGUCCACGCUGUAAACGAUGAUUACUCGAUGUUGGCGAUACACAGUCAGCGUCUGAGCGAAAGCAAUAAGUAAUCCACCUGGGGAGUACGAUCGCAAGAUUGAAACUCAAAGGAAUUGACGGGGGCCCGCACAAGCGGAGGAGCAUGUGGUUUAAUUCGAUGAUACGCGAGGAACCUUACCUGGGCUCGAACGUAAGAUGACUGUAGGUGAAAGCUUACAUCUCUUCGGAGCAUUUUACGAGGUGCUGCAUGGUUGUCGUCAGCUCGUGCCGUGAGGUGUCGGGUUAAGUCCCAUAACGAGCGCAACCCCUACCUUUAGUUGCCAACAGGUCAUGCUGGGGACUCUAAAGGAACUGCCUACGCAAGUAGUGAGGAAGGCGGGGAUGACGUCAAAUCAGCACGGCCCUUACGUCCAGGGCUACACACGUGCUACAAUGGCCGAUACAGAGGGCAGCUACCUGGUGACAGGAUGCAAAUCUCCAAAGUCGGUCUCAGUUCGGAUC